rnacentral:rRNA from 1 species
GACAGAGGUGGCGAGCGUUUGUUCGGAUUUAUUGGGUGUAAAGGGCAGGUAGGUGGCUAUACAAGUCCGACGUGAAAUCCCAGGGCUCAACCCUGGAACUGCAUUGGAAACUGUAUGGCUUGAGUACCGGAGAGGUGAAGGGAAUUCUCGGUGUAAGGGUGAAAUCUGUAGAUAUCGAGAGGAACACCAGUGGCGAAGGCGCUUCACUGGCCGGUUGCUGACACUGAGCUGCGAAAGCAAGGGGAGCAAACAGG